rnacentral:rRNA from 1 species
GACGAACGCUGGCGGCGUGCUUAACACAUGCAAGUCGAGCGAGACCCCGCUUUCGGGUGGGUGUUCUAGCGGCGAACGGGUGAGUAACGCGUGGGCAACCUGCCCUCAGCUCUGGGAUAACUCCAAGAAAUUGGGGCUAAUACCGGAUAUGACCGCUGACCGCAUGGUCUGGUGGUGGAGAGAUUUAUCGGCUGGGGAUGGGCCCGCGGCCUAUCAGCUUGUUGGUGGGGUAGUGGCCUACCAAGGCGACGACGGGUAGCCGGCCUGAGAGGGUGACCGGCCACACUGGGACUGAGACACGGCCCAGACUCCUACGGGAGGCAGCAGUGGGGAAUAUUGCGCAAUGGGCGAAAGCCUGACGCAGCGACGCCGCGUGGGGGAUGACGGCCUUCGGGUUGUAAACCUCUCUCAGCAGGGACGAAGCGAAAGUGACGGUACCUGCAGAAGAAGCACCGGCCAACUACGUGCCAGCCGCCGCAGUAA